UACAGAGGGUGCGAGCGUUAAUCGGAAUUACUGGGCGUAAAGCGUGCGUAGACGGUUAUUUAAGUCGGGUGUGAAAGCCCGGGGCUCAACCUGGGAAUUGCAUUCGAGACUGAAUAGCUAGGGUACGGUAGAGGGAAGUGGAAUUUCCGGUGUAGCGGUGAAAUGCGUAGAUAUCGGAAGGAACAUCAGUGGCGAAAGCGACUUCCUGGACCAGUACCGACGUUCAGGCACGAAAGCGUGGGGAGCAAACAGG
rnacentral:rRNA from 1 species